CCAGCCGCGCUCCCGCCUGUUACCCGCCAGCCCCGCUGCCCGAAGGCUCGUGCACUGUGCAGCGAGACUGCUUCACGCGCUCCGUUCCUCGACUUACCUACCGAGGCGCACGCAGCGAGCGGAAGGCGACGAGUCGGGUCUCCCUCCCGAGGAUGGAAGAGGAGGUCAGAGGGAGAUGCCCGCAGCCCGAGGCUGAGGAACGAACCCGGGGCGUCAGCUAGGGCGCCGUGGGGUCCGGAAGGCCUGGCCGGCCCCUCCGCAGUGAGCAGGAACUCAGUGAACCGCCCGGAGCAGAAAUGGGACGCUCGGGGACCCACCCCCGCGCUCCCCCUCCCGCCCCCAAACUGCAGAUUUUUAAGUUGUGCAGACUUGCAAUAAUUCCUCAGAGCCAGCUGCUCCAAGCUGUAGGCGCCCGGUGUUCCCGCCCCACAGCACGCAAUGGGACAACCGCCCCCCACCCAGCGCCUGCUGCCCGCUGGCCUCAGACGAGCACCCAGCAGGACCACACAGAGGCCUGUCCCCUCUCUUAUGAAAGAGGAUCCAAAGCAUUUGUCUACACUGCUGUUUGCAAGCCUCUGAAGAAGAGCAACAACAACAAAAACAAACUUACCCGAAGGACUCAGUCCAAUCUCUUGGACUUCUCAGGACUUGGAAUUCUCAGAGCCGCAGAAUCCCUGCUGAUGUUUCCAUCUGCAUUACUGGGGUUGCGUCCUACCCAAUGCUGUGCAGAGACGUGGGAGCCAGCAGCCUGUGACCGCUCUCCUGAUAUCAGAGCCAGCACCCAAGGCAGCUGUGCCAGCAAGUGAAGCACCUCUAGACUCAACCUCCUGGGUUUGACCUUGGCUCUGUUCCUCUCUAGCUGUGUGACUUGGAGCAUUUCCUCUCUCCCUGACCCUCAGCCUCUUCAUUGGCUAGAUGCUCCCUGACAGGGUGGGAGUAAAGUUCAAAUAAGAUAAUGACGAUACAGAACAAUAUAGAGGAAGGAAAGAAAAAGCCUCUUGGUAUCCAACUCAGCAUAAAAUUAUCUGUGUCGCCUUAGCCCUCACUGUGUCUCUGUGUCUCCCAUGUAAAAUGGGGAUCAUUAUCCCAUAUUGUAUCCCUCGAUUAUUAUGAGAUCCCACGUGCUGCCUUGACACUUUUGAGGUUCACAGGACUCCUGGAGGCUUAGCCAGGAGUUCUCCUGCUCUGGUCAGAUGUGCCCCCCCAACAUGGGGAAAGUCUCCCCUUCUGGCUAUUGAUUGGACCAGCUGCACCUCACCUGGUCCUCAACAUAAUGGGUUUUGCCUCCGGGCCAGCCUGUGGAAUUAUUCAAACAAGCCAAUCACAUUCUCCUGCAGGAACCAAGAGUCACCCCAUCUUCUCAUCACUACAAGGCCUGCCUCCUUGGAGCCUCUGCUGGUUCUCUCUGCUCCCAAGCAUUCCCAAGUGGCCUUGUGCAGUGUGUGGCAUCCCCCUCCCCCUGGCUAUGAGUACACGGGACUAAUAAACUGCUAUUGGUCUCAUCUGUCCUGGGUCGGAGGUCAUGUGUUCAAGACUCAUCCUAUUUAUGGGAAGAAUCCUCCUUCACCAACCAGGUGACUAGGAGGUUAUCAGAACAGGUACCUCUCUCAAAGAGUUGUGAAUCUGGGGCCUUCACCACUUCAUGGAGCUAUCAUAUAAAUGAACGCUAUAUGUUGCCAAUCACUGCAAUUCUUUUACGUGAGAGAAAAAAAAAAUAUUUGUG
rnacentral:lncRNA from 1 species